rnacentral:rRNA from 1 species
UACAGAGGGUGCAAGCGUUAUCCGGAUUCACUGGGUUUAAAGGGUGUGUAGGCGGGCUAUUAAGUCAGUGGUGAAAUCUCCGGGCUCAACCCGGAAACUGCCAUUGAUACUAUUAGUCUUGAAUUCUGUUGAGGUAGGCGGAAUAUAUCAUGUAGCGGUGAAAUGCUUAGAUAUGAUAUAGAACACCGAUUGCGAAGGCAGCUUACUAAGCAGAUAUUGACGCUGAGGCACGAAAGCGUGGGGAUCAAACAGG